rnacentral:rRNA from 1 species
AUUGAACGCUGGCGGCAGGCUUAACACAUGCAAGUAGAGCGAGCGGCGGACGGGUGAGUAAUGUCUGGGAAACUGCCUGAUGGAGGGGGAUAACUACUGGACACGGUAGCUAAUACCGCAUCCCAUCAGAUGUGCCCAGAUUGGAUUAGCUAGUAGGGUGGGUAAUGGCUCACCUAGGAGACGAUCCCUCGCUGGUCUGAGAGGAUGACCAGCGACACGGGAACUGAGAUACGGUCCAGACGCCUACGGGAGGCAGCAGUGGGGAAUAGUGCACAAUGGGCGCAAGCCGGAUGCAGCCAUGCCGCGUGUGUGAAGAAGGCCUGCGGGUUGUAAAGCACUUUCAGCGAGGAGGCGUUACUCGCAGAAGAAGCACCGGCUAACUCCGUGCCAGCAGCCGCGGUAAUUC